GGGUUGUGAGGUUAAGCGACUAAGCGUACACGGUGGAUGCCCUGGCAGUCAGAGGCGAUGAAGGACGUGCUAAUCUGCGAUAAGCGUCGGUAAGGUGAUAUGAACCGUUAUAACCGGCGAUUUCCGAAUGGGGAAACCCAGUGUGUUUCGACACACUAUCAUUAACUGAAUCCAUAGGUUAAUGAGGCGAACCGGGGGAACUGAAACAUCUAAGUACCCCGAGGAAAAGAAAUCAACCGAGAUUCCCCCAGUAGCGGCGAGCGAACGGGGAGCAGCCCAGAGCCUGAAUCAGUGUGUGUGUUAGUGGAAGCGUCUGGAAAGGCGCGCGAUACAGGGUGACAGCCCCGUACACAAAAAUGCACAUGCUGUGAGCUCGAUGAGUAGGGCGGGACACGUGGUAUCCUGUCUGAAUAUGGGGGGACCAUCCUCCAAGGCUAAAUACUCCUGACUGACCGAUAGUGAACCAGUACCGUGAGGGAAAGGCGAAAAGAACCCCGGCGAGGGGAGUGAAAAAGAACCUGAAACCGUGUACGUACAAGCAGUGGGAGCACAGAGCAAUCUGUGUGACUGCGUACCUUUUGUAUAAUGGGUCAGCGACUUAUAUUCUGUAGCAAGGUUAACCGAAUAGGGGAGCCGAAGGGAAACCGAGUCUUAACUGGGCGUUAAGUUGCAGGGUAUAGACCCGAAACCCGGUGAUCUAGCCAUGGGCAGGUUGAAGGUUGGGUAACACUAACUGGAGGACCGAACCGACUAAUGUUGAAAAAUUAGCGGAUGACUUGUGGCUGGGGGUGAAAGGCCAAUCAAACCGGGAGAUAGCUGGUUCUCCCCGAAAGCUAUUUAGGUAGCGCCUCGUGAAUUCAUCUCCGGGGGUAGAGCACUGUUUCGGCAAGGGGGUCAUCCCGAC
rnacentral:rRNA from 1 species